rnacentral:rRNA from 1 species
UACGGAGGAUCCGAGCGUUAUCCGGAUUUAUUGGGUUUAAAGGGUGCGCAGGCGGGGGAUUAAGUCGGCGGUGAAAUUUUGCAGCUCAACUGUAAAAGUGCCUUCGAAACUGGUUUCCUUGAGUGUAGAUGAAGUAGGCGGAAUUUGUGGUGUAGCGGUGAAAUGCGUAGAUAUUCGGAGGAACACCAGUGGCGAAGGCGGCUUACUGGACUCUAACUGACGCUGAGGCUCGAAAGCGUGGGGAGCAAACAGGAUUAGAUACCCGCGUAGUCCCUGAGCGGG